rnacentral:rRNA from 1 species
CCUACGGGAGGCAGCAGUGGGGAAUAUUGCACAAUGGGGGAAACCCUGAUGCAGCGACGCCGCGUGAGUGAAGCAGUAUUUCGGUAUGUAAAGCUCUAUCAGCAGGGAAGAAAAUGACGGUACCUGACUAAGAAGCCCCGGCUAACUACGUACCAGCAGCCGCGGUAAUACGUAGGGGGCAAGCGUUAUCCGGAUUUACUGGGUGUAAAGGGAGCGUAGACGGCCAGACAAGUCAGAAGGGAAGGCGCAGGGCUCAACCCUGGGACUGCUUUUGAAAAUGCCGGGCUGGAGUGCAGGAGAGGUAAGCGGAAUUCCUAGUGUAGCGGUGAAAGGCGUAGAUAUUAGGAGGAACACCAGGGGCGAAGGCGGCUUACUGGACUGUAACUGACGUUGAGGCUCGAAAGCGUGGGGAGCAAACAGGAUUAGAUACCCUUGUAGUC